UACGUAGGGUGCAAGCGGUAAUCGGAAUUACUGGGCGUAAAGCGUGCGCAGGCGGUUUUGUAAGUCUGAUGUGAAAUCCCCGGGCUCAACCUGGGAAUUGCAUUGGAGACUGCAAGGCUAGAAUCUGGCAGAGGGGGGUAGAAUUCCACGUGUAGCAGUGAAAUGCGUAGAGAUGUGGAGGAACACCGAUGGCGAAGGCAGCCCCCUGGGUCAAGAUUGACGCUCAUGCACGAAAGCGUGGGGAGCAAACAGG
rnacentral:rRNA from 1 species